rnacentral:tRNA from 1 species
AACUCUUUAGCUUUUAGCAGUUGUUUUGAAAGCAACGAUACAGGUCACCCUAAGAGUUU